AUGUUGGGUCUGCCCGCUAUUUCUAAGCUCAAUUUGAAAUUCAGCACAUGGCUCAUGAGCAUGGUAGAUGGGCCCAACAGAUGCAUCAGACUAUCUCAUGAUAGAUCCAUUAGUUUCUGGCCAGGGGAUAUCCACAAAGUUUUCGGUAUCCCAUGUGGCAACCUAGACAUACACAUCAUUGAAUAUCAACAAGCAGAAAGUUCAGUUCAGUUUUUUAGAUCUGUCUUGGGUAUGCCUGAGAACGGGAAUCAAGUGCUCAAAUGUGUUGAAUUGGUUAUAAUGAAAGAUCUAAAUGAAUCAACUGCCAGCAAUUUAGAGAUUGACUGUUUCAAUAUGUAUUUCGUGAUCUUCUGCAUGGGCCACAUCCUGACCCCGUCCAGUAAGCACGACCAUGCCAUCAUAGAUUACUGGUCAGCUAUCGCAAACACAGAUAAAAUUACAGAUUUCAACUUUUGUGAUUAUGUGUUUGCUGAUUUACUGGCGGCUUGCUGGAAAGUAAAGCAAGACAUUCAAAACAAUAGACCAAUUACUCAUUUGAUGGAUGCCACCUUUUUUUCCAGAUCUUCUAUCUUGACAACCUAG
rnacentral:rRNA from 1 species